rnacentral:rRNA from 1 species
UGGGGAAUUUUGGACAAUGGGCGAAAGCCUGAUCCAGCAAUGCCGCGUGUGUGAAGAAGGCCUUCGGGUUGUAAAGCACUUUUGUCCGGAAAGAAAUCCUUGGCUCUAAUACAGUCGGGGGAUGACGGUACCGGAAGAAUAAGCACCGGCUAACUACGUGCCAGCAGCCGCGGUAAUACGUAGGGUGCAAGCGUUAAUCGGAAUUACUGGGCGUAAAGCGUGCGCAGGCGGUUUGCUAAGACCGAUGUGAAAUCCCCGGGCUCAACCUGGGAACUGCAUUGGUGACUGGCAGGCUAGAGUAUGGCAGAGGGGGGUAGAAUUCCACGUGUAGCAGUGAAAUGCGUAGAGAUGUGGAGGAAUACCGAUGGCGAAAGGCAGCCCCCUGGGCCAAUACUGACGCUCAUGCACGAAAAGCGUGGGGAGCAAAACAGGAUUAGAUACCCUGGUAGUCCACGCCCUAAAACGAUGUCAACUAGUUGUUGGGGAUUCAUUUCCUUAGUAACGUAGCUAACGCGUGAAGUUGACCGCCUGGGGAGUACGGUCGCAAGAUUAAAAACUCAAAGGAAUUGACGGGGUCAUAGCUGUUUCCU